AUUGAACGCUGGCGGCAUGCCUAACAUAUGCAAGUCGCACGCGAAAGGGGGCAACCCUGAGUAGAGUGGCGGACGGGUGAGUAACGCGUAGGAAUCUACCUGGUAGUGGGGGACAACCCGGUGAAAACCGGGCUAAUACCGCAUACGAUCCACGGAUGAAAGCGGGGGACCGCAAGGCCUUGCGCUAUCAGAUGAGCCUGCGUCGGAUUAGCUAGUUGGUGGGGUAAAGGCCCACCAAGGCGACGAUCCGUAGCUGGUUUGAGAGAACGACCAGGCACACGGGGACUGAGACACGGCCCAGACUCCGACGGGAGGCAGCAGUGGGGAAUAUUGGACAGUGGGGGGAACCAUGAUCCAGCAAUGCCGCGUGUGUGAAGAAGGCCUGCGGGUUGUAAAGCACUUUCGGUGGGGACAAACAAGGUGGAGCUAACAUCUCCGCCUCUGAUGGUACCCAAAGAAGAAGCACCGGCUAACUCUGUGCCAGCCGCCGCCGUAA
rnacentral:rRNA from 1 species